rnacentral:sRNA from 1 species
ACUUGAUUUUAGAUCUCACUUUCUGGCCCUUCUUUCUCACCCCCCAUCAAAGAUGUGCCUCAACUAUAUAUGCUUCAGAACUAGCAAAAACACCAAAAAAAAGUGUUUCAUUCAGUUUGAAGAAUGAUCCUGAGAUUACGAUAAACGUUCCUCAAAGUAGCAAGGGCCAUUCUGCUUCAGACAAGGUUCAGCCGAAGAACAAUGACAAAAGUGAAUUUCUGUCAACAGCACCUCGUAGUCUAAGAAAAAGAUUAAUAGUUCCAAGGUCUCAUUCUGACAGUGAAAGCGAAUAUUCUGCUUCCAACUCAGAGGAUGAUGAAGGGGUUGCACAGGAACAUGAAGAGGACACUAAUGCAGUCAUAUUCAGCCAAAAGAUUCAAGCUCAGAAUAGAGUAGUUUCAGCUCCUGUUUGCAAAGAAACACCUUCUAAGAGAAUGAAAAGAGAUAAAACAAGUGACUUAGUAGAAGAAUAUUUUGAAGCCCACAGCAGUUCAAAAGUUUUAACCUCUGAUAGAACACUGCAGAAGCUAAAGAGAGCUAAACUGGAUCAG